rnacentral:tRNA from 1 species
AUUAUUUAGGUGCCUGAUUAAAGGGUUAAUUUGAUAGAUUAAAUAAUGGUUUAUUUUUAUUUCUG